UCUACGUAUCCUCAUCGAAUGUUACAGUGGGAAUAUAGCUUAAAACCCAAGCAGCCAAAAAAAAUGGGAUGUUCUAAUCCUAGCCAAGAAUUGACUUGAUUUUCGCCUUCUGAUCCUCCGCAAGUGAUGUGGGGAACAAAACCUCAUAGGUGACAAAGAGGUCUCCUUUCUUGUUGCUAAAAUGCAAUGGCAUUCCUUCUCCUUUGAACUUUCUCACCUCCUUCGGCUUGGUAAUACCCUAAGUAUGCAAUACACAAUUAUUUCUUAUUUUGGGUCAUUUUGUUGAUCGCGGACAACAUGAAAUCAAAUCUCCAUGGGACAUGUUAUGCUUACCUUAGAGCCGAUCUCCACUAAAUGGUCAUCAAGGUGUUUAAUGGUCUUAUCAAAACCAACAAGAGCUUGAACCUAGAGCAAAUAAUGACAAGAAAAUUAGUUUUUAGUUUUCUGACAAAAUGUAGAGAUACAUUGAGAAAUCGUCUUACAAGUGUUAUGGUGACGGUGGUGUGCAAGUCAUUGCCUUCCCUCCUGAAUCGGUCAUGGGGUGCUGUAUGAAUCCGGAACUACAGAAAAUGCAAGUCUUAUGUGAGCAAGAACGAGCAAGUUCCAAUAUACUAACUAAAGGCAGCAAAUGAUUCUGGAGACAGGAAUCUACCGGCCUUGCCCAAUGGCCAGCAAGUAGCACAAUUAACUGAUCUAUUUAGAAGGAUUGGAAAAUUUUCAUCAAUGGUUAAAGACUAACCUUCAAAUCUCCAGGUUCUCCAUCUAUAAUAGGCUCACCAUCUUCAUAAAAGACCACCUCCUGUAGAACACACAGGAAACACAUUAUUCCAAAUUUAAAAACAGUACCACGGACUAGAUGAAAAUACAACUAUUAUACUCCUAGCAAUAGUGUGAUAAAACUACAAUAUGACGGAAAGUACAAAAUCCCAUAAUUGUAGUUGGACAAGUAAUUAAGAUGAAAUUGCCAAAUGAAUGAAUCUGCACCAAAACAAAGAACUCCAUUUAAACAUGGCAUUAAGAAUCCCUAGAGAUUUUACUAAAUUACAUUCCUUUGUCUCUUUCUUUGCCCCCACAUUGGAUUAAUGAUGAACAAGAAAGCAUGUCAAAACAAGUCGGAACACCCUGAUACAUGAUCAAUCAUUCUGAUGUUGUUAUAAUUGUCAUUUUUAAUAGAUCGAAGCACCCAGAAUAAUUUUGAUAAUUCAAGAAACAAACUUUUCAUAUCACAGAACAGCUUGUCCACUAUCACAUUCCCCAAGUUUAAAACACGACAAUAUUUUUUAACAUUAAUUAAGAAAAACAAGACAACAGUCUCAACAAGCAUACGAAGGAAAAUAUUACAAAUUAAAGAAAAAUAAUUUUAAAAACCUACUUGUCCAUCUUGCAUUCCUUUCUCAAUAUCAACUGUGACAAAGUAUCCCUCUCGUUCAUAUUUCACAUUUUGGCACUGCUCGCAAACCUGAGAAAAGAGAAUUGGAGACUAAUAAUAAAUGCCUGAUCAUAGCAACAUCGGACAUGACACUUUUGACAGUGUAAAAUGGCCAAGGAAACAGAUAAAAUACAUAACAGUAUGAAACAUAAAUAUCAAUCAAAAAGAAAAAAAGACAAAGCCACAGUACCUGUUCAGUCAUCUGUUGGAACAUCCCUGGACCAAUUUGCUUAUGAUAGACCUCAUUUCUGCAGUUACAGCGGCGUUUACCUGGAGCUGGUUUUAAGAUGUUUUUCUCCCUCCAAACCUGGUGAAUUUGAGAAUAAUGUUACAUUUUUUUUUUAUAAAAUAAGAAUACUGACAAGGAAGGUCAUAGGCAAAGGGAAGAGAAAGGCAAACACCAAGCUACUAACUCCUUCGAUUUCCCCCACAAAGGCUCAAGUUAAGGACAAGAAGAAAUAAUGCACAUCCUAUCUACAUCAUCUUUAUUUCAGGAUAAUCAAUGUAAAAUUCAUUGAUCUCCAAGCGUUCCAAGAAAUAGAACAUUUAGAACGAAGCACAAAUUUGUCAAGUAUAAAGGACUAGAUCCAAAGAUGGCCAAACAACUUUAUUUUACACUUUUGACGGUCGCCCUAAGGAGGCUGAAGAGAAGAAAUAUUUUAAUAAUCUAGCUCCUAGCUAAGACAGGUCAGGACAUUACAUGGCUUGAUAUGCAUUAUACCAUACCCUAUGAUGCCUUAUAGCUGAUAAACAUUAAAACUCCAAAGAGAGAAUCUAGCCUUGUCAUUUGCAAAGGGUCCACAAAAAAUACUAGAUAUCUUAAGUACCUAUGACGCUUGCAUGUACAAGUUUAAUUAUUAUUAGAUGGAUAUGAUAUUUAGACUACUAAUACAUUGAGAAAGCGAUAACUGUAGUUGCAUACACUAUUCUGCUCACAAACCAACUUCUCGAGCCUAGUGUCAUGGGCCAAAGUUCAAAGCCCGUGACCAUCGCACCAAAUGCAUUCAAUGAAGGUCUAUUGAUUAGAUGGGAUCAUUUGGCCCAGGAGAACUGGCCCGAUUCAAAAAGCUAUUGGAGAAACCUGUCAGAUUGAAGCCUGGUUGGCCCGAUAAUGAAGAGAUGGCAACUUAGGCUAAUAUGGUAACUAAUCUUAGAAGAUAGAGGGAAUCAUAUCUUGUAAAGAUUACAUUAGAUUUGAUAAGACUUAUCUUGUAAAUCCCUAAAAUCAAGGGAUUUAAUGAAUCUCGUCCGUCUAUGUAAAUGUAUCUUAACCGUCGGUUUUGGGAGAGCUUAAUUAUAAAUAGAGAGCCUCCCCUCAUUUGUACUCAUUCCAUUGUAUUCUGAAUUUUUAAGAGUAAUAUAAUUCUGAGAGCAUUUACUCAAACACCUUGUGUGCAAUCUUUUCUGUGGCUUUCUGUUGUUCUUUGGUUAGUUACUUUUGGCAUAAAUCGCUUCCGCUCUUCAAUUUGGUGGCUUGGAGGAGUUCUAAAAAAUCCUCACUUGAGUUAAGGUUGACUUAGGCGAGUUUAGACGAACGAAUCGCCUAAGACCGCACGGAUUGCGAGACGAAAGGUCUAGCCCCGUGACACUAGAAGGUAAUACAAGUACAAAACAUGCAUAUGUUCAAAACCCUUUACAGAGACUAACAAUUCAGCUAUGACGUUAAAUAAGGUACUAGCCAUGCACAAAAAUCUUCGGUUCCAUAGAAGUCAAGAUGACCAAACACAGUCCAACUACCGAUUUGGAAAUUUUAGUGGAGCACAUAAUACUCUCACCUUAAGAGUACCUCCCAUGUACAAAUCUUCUAGUGUUGCAUCCAAUUCAACAAUUACAUCAUCGCCCUUCACAAUUCUCUCUUCCUCUUCUACCGUACCUCCGCCAAAAAACCUGAAGAAAACACCAUCUUGUCAACAUUAAAAUUGAAUUUAGCAUAAAAUAUAUAAAAGUAAACAAUUCCUCAAAAUUGAUGGAUAACCACGUUUAAACUAAGUGAAUGUAGGGCUAGGUAGAUGGUUUUCAAAAGUUGAAACCAUUCUUGACAUUUGUUACAUUUUAUUGUUGAUUUCAUAUAUCAUCAACUUAACACGGAAACAUAUGUAAAGGUUCGCAACAACCCAAAGGAGCAAGACAUUAAGAAGCUCCAUGUUGGCACCCAAGACCAGAGUUCAAACCUAGCGUAACUCAUCCUCCCCAAAAUUGUAAUGUACAAAAAAUAAAGGUUCUGAAAUCUAACAUCAAUUAUAGACAACCUGAAUUUGGGAAACAUUAGCAUGCCUAAGAUAAACCUAAGCUACAUUAAUUGGCUUCUAAACUGUGGUACAAUGUCGGCACACCAUUUAUAAUAGCAUUUCAACUACUACUAAAUAGCUGUCAAGAUAAUUAAACGAAACUACAACUAAAUAGCUAACAAGAUAAUUAAUACUCAGUUUAGGAACAUGAAUUUGGAUUUUAUUUAUAUGUAAAUGGUAAAAAUGAAAAGCAUAAAAACAUGGAUUUAGCAAAUUAAAAAAUAUUUUAAGAAUUCGAAAUUCACUGGUCGGCAUCUUAACAAAUUCAUAGAUUUAAGAAACAAUCAUGAAACGCUACAUAAAGGAAAUGGAAUAUAAACAUUCAAAUAUCUUACGAGCUGAAAAUGUCCUGAAUAUUGACCCCCAUUCCUCCUCUGCCUCCGCUGGUAGCAUGCUGCUUCAGGCCCUCCUCACCAUACCUAUCAUAUAUGCCCCUCUUUUCGCUAUCCGACAACACCUCGUAAGCUAAUCAUUGUCAAAGCAAUUAAUCGUUUAAAGAAGAAAAUUCAAUCAUAUCUAUCACUCAACUUAUUUUUCAAAAAUUAUAAUAAUAAAGAACAAGUUUUUUUUUUUUACCAUUGUUAAUGUCAGCAAAUCGCUUAUUGGCCUCUUCAUUGCCGGGGUUCUUAUCAGGAUGGUACUUCAAUGCCAGCUUUCUAUACGCUCUUUUGAUCUGCUCAUCGGAUGCUCCUUUCGGCACUUGCAAUAUGUCGUAAUAACUCUUCCUGCAGCAAAAACACCACCACGAACAUAUAUGAACGCAUUUUUUGAGAGAGAGGGAGACGGGAGAGAUUGAGGCAUACCCUGCAAUGGCGACGAUCGCAAAAGACAAAGCGAACAGCAGAAAAAGUAGCUUCGAUCGAGGAAGCGCCAUGGAUUUGAGAUCAGGAGAGAAAUUGGAUCUCUCCAGAACUUAAGAAAUGUUUACAAAUUUUUUAUCAGAUCUUCAAUUUCAACAACAAAAAUAAAAAAGGUUGAUAUUUCAAGAGAGAAUAGGUGAAGGAUUCUUAAGCUUUGGCGCUGCUUUUAUAAUUUAAUUUCUCUAAUGGAUCGUGUUUUUUUAUUUUUCAGUUGGAGUACUUGAAAUUCGAAACUGGGAAACGAAGCGAAGCUUGAGGCAUCAAACGACUUGACUUUGGGACUAAACUUUUGCGACGUGUUCUCGAGAAAACUGGCCAAUGAGCGUAAGCUUCCUGUUGUUUUCACCAAUAGCGUAUUGACAGGUGAUGGAUUUGCCGUCUUCCUGGGUCCUAUAUCUGUUUUCCUGGAUGAUGUAAAAUUUAUUGAUUUACACAGCACUUUAAAAUCAUAUAUAUAAGGUCUAAAAUGUUUUUCCUACCUCACAUAACUUAUAAAAUUGUGAUUUGUUGCGGGUGUAGAUCAGGCUAUUAAGAUCCAGGAUUCUAUUUGAGACAUAUAGUAAAUGGGCCAAAAAUAAAUUUUCUUUUGGAGCUUCGAGACAUGAAGUAAAUGGGCCAAAAAUAAAUAUUUUUUUCUCGAAAAACACCAAUGCCAACAUAUCCGCUGAGAUUUGUAGUAUAUUGAGGUUUAGUAUGACUGAUGAUUUGGGAUUCUAUUUGGAUAUGCCGUUGUUUCAUCGAUGAGUUACAACAAAUACUUUUAAGUUUAUUGUUGAGAAGGUUUAAAGAAAAUUGGAUAGUUGGGAUGCCAAGUUGCUCUCAAUGGCGGGUCGAGUCACUCUAACAAGGUCAAUUUUGUUAUCAAUACCUAAUUAUUUCAGGCAAUCUUUAAGUUUUAAGAUCCUUAUUUCUAUCUGCAAAGAGGUUGAAAAGAUUGCUCAGGGAUUCACUUGUAGGAGAUCCAUGGUUAGUCAAAAGCCAUCUUUAGUUAAAUGGUCUGACUGUUUUCAACCACUUUUUAAUAGAGGUCUUCGUCUUAGAAGCCUUACGAAUCAAAACAAUUCUGUUCUUCUCAAAUUGGGGUUUAAUUUCCUUUCCAAUAAACAAUCUUUAUGGGUUCAUUUCCUAAGAGCUAAAUAUAAGAUAGUUGAUGAUUUCCCGGUAGAGAUUUUAAGGAAUUGUUGAUCUUUAUUUGGAGAUCACUUGCAAAGAUUUGGCCUCUUGUGUGCUAAUGUGUUAGCUGGUCAGUGGGUGAUGAUAAUCGUAUAAAUUUUUGGACUGAUAAGUGGGUCGUUGGGUUUGGUCCUCUAAUUAUUUAUUGUCGUAAUGUUUUGCUAAUUGAUGAAUCCAUUUCUCUUAGGGAGAUGGUGUUGACGAAUGGUGAUUGGGAUUGGCAAUAUCUAAGAAGUUUCUUAAAUGUUAAUAUUCUCUCCAACAUUGCAGGUAUUUCGGUUCCAAUUCUAAUGGGAGCUUCUCAGUCAAAUCUACCUAUAAGUUUCUCAGAAAUGACGGCUUAAAUCCUCAAUAAGAGAGCUGUAAACUUGUAUGGUCUUUUUCAGGGCUUCAACUCGUAUGCUAUCAAUACAACAUAGGGGUAUCGAUACCUAAGCCUAGGUAUUGAUACAUUAGUGCUAGUGUUGAUACUUUGGGCCUGUUUUGCAUAUAAAUGAUCCAAAAUGAAUUUUUACUAAAACGUUUUAGUUAAUUUUAAGUUGUACAUUGAAAAUAUGUUAAAAACAUGUUCGUAGGGUUAAAAUAUGAUCAGAAAAUGGUUCAGAUAAUUGAAUUUAGCCAAGAUUACAGCAGCACUCAAAUGUGACAUUCAUAUAUUCAACUUAAUAGUGAGUCGAGUAUAGGGGUGUUACAAUUGGCCUCACAUGGUGAUCGCGUCCCAACGUGCAUGCGUCGGGUCUUAGAAAUAGGCAAUUACAUAUGAAAAUAUGUGUGGUGUCUACCAGUGUACAAAUAAAAUUUUAAUAUAGUUUUGUUUUUACAACAAAACGCUUUGAAAGUAUUCCUAGAACCAUACCCAAAGGAGGUUUGUUAAAACUAAAUUGACAGCAAGAAUAAACACACUAACUAGGUCUAAAUACUACUCACAUCUAGGUCAUAUUAUGAUAGAAUAAAAAGAAGAUGGUUUGCAGAAUAAAGUAACAACAAAAUACCAAAAUCUUAAUCAAUUUAUGCAGACACAAGGGUGGCUCACUUCGAUGUUCAUGGUUAACUUAGAUCUAGGGUUUUUCGCUAAUUAGCUAACAACUAACCUAAUUACAUUUCGGCCUAUAAGUAGAUUAAUUGAUUAACUUAAUUUACUUAUCUUUUGACCUAAUAAAUUAAACCGAGUUAAUAGACUAUCCUUUCGGCCUCAUCUACCUAAGUGACUUCCUAGAGUCGUCAAUUCUAGGGUUUUAUCCAGUUAACUUAAGCCAGCUAACUAGAUGUGAAACCCUUAACCCAAGCUAACCAAUCCCACUUCAAAUCGUCAACUUUCCCAGGGUUUAGUUCCGAGGCAUUCUAGAUGAAAACUCUCCUAUCAAUUUAUUAAACAUUUAAUUACACAUAAUAAUAAAAGAGAAAAGAGAAAGAAUGCUCAAAAUCUGAAGAUCGUUAAUUGCAGAUUGAAUCAUGAACCCUUAAUCGAUGUUGAUUAUUGAUAAUGAUGAAGAGAAAAUAACAAUGAAACUAAUAUUGAAAUCGAAGUAACUAUUUAAAAAUUGAAAAGAAAUUGAAAAUAAACUAAACCCUAACUAAGAAUAGAAAUCUAAAGUCUAAUUUCUGAACUGAACCCUCUAAUCAGGUUCUAAGAACUAAUAUUUAUAGUGUUUAUAUUACAUGACCAAAUUUGGUUAAUUACAAGCUGUGUAACAGGUUAAUUAUGAUUGUGUCGACAAAAAAUAACCCUGGCAGUUAAAUGGGCCUCGUCGAAUCGGUGUCGCGACUUUUAUGGCAGUCUACUCCCUCUCUAGACUCGAAGUUUGAUGUUGUGACUUUGGCUUGUGGAUGUCGUGACAUCGUCUCUCGUAACUUACCACUUGGAUUCAAAAUUCUACUAAGUGUAGAGGCUUGCUUCGUUGUUGCAAUAUUCCCUUUGAAUGUUGUGACCUCUAGGGCAAUCCACUGACUCAUCGGCCAAAAAAAUAUUGUCUUGCACACUUAAUCAACAUGUUAGUUCCUACUUAGGUCCGGAUUGGCCUAACAGGUCAUAAAACAACACUUAAGGCUCAUUUUAUUAAACUUAAAUUCAAAACUAACUAAUUUUAAAAAUAUACUAAAAAGAUAUAAAAUCACUUGAAUACAAGCUCAUUAAGUGUUAAAAAAAGCUUAAUUUACCACAACAAAUCACAUAGGUGAUGAUGUUGAGACCUAUGUGAAGACUUGUCUAGUGUGUCAACAAGACAAGGUACAAUUGAAAACGUCGACCACUUUUUUGUAGCCUUUACUCAUUCCAGAAUGUCCAUGGGAGAGUAUAUCUAUGGAUUUUAUUAUUAGUUUGCUUAAAUUUGACGGGUUUGCGAGUAUUAUUGUUGUGGUUGACAGAUUUUCCAAGUAUGGAGUGUUCAUUCCAACAACCAAUAAGUGCCCUACUAAUGAGGCAGCUCGUUUGUUCGUUGGACAUGUGGUAAAAUAUUAGGGAGUGCCACAGUCUAUAGUUAGUGAUUGAAAUGGACAAUUCAUGAGUCGAAUCUGGAAAAAGUUGUUCAAGUUGAAGGGAUCGGACUUGAACUUUUCCAUUAGCAUGCAUCCGCAAGCUGAUAGGUAAACUGUGAGAGUAAAUAUUUUAUUAGAGACUUAUUUUUGGCAUUAUGUGAGUGUCACACAGAGGGAUUGGCCAAAGUUGUUUGAUGUGACAUAAUUUUCUUAUAACUUGCAGCGGAGUUGGGCCACGAAUUAGAGUCUGUUUAAGAUAGUGACGGGGCAACAACUACUGAUACCUAACGUUGUUGCGACCCGUUAUGCAGGACCAAAUCAAACAACUUAUUGAUUUGCUAAAGAUUGGCAGUAGCGGAAUGACUUAGCCAGAGCUUACCUACAUAAGGUAAGUAAGCGCAACAAGAAGUGGGUUGAUCAAAAUCGCAAAUAUAUGUAAUUUCAAGUUGGUGACUUAGUCCUUGCUAAAUUACACUUGAUUUUGUGCCACAUUAGCUUACACAAAGGGAUCUUUUAGAGUUUUGAAGAGGAUAGGUAAGGUGGCCUACAAACUAAAGUUGCCAAUAAAAUUUAAGGUUUAUUUGUUGUUCUAUGUCAGUGUGCUUAAGUCUUUCAAUGAGGACCAGGAGAAUCCCAUUUGAGGUAAGUCCAAAUGAGAGCCAAUGGGUUAAAGGCCUCCUAUGAUCCUGAUGUUGAGUGUAUCAUGGCAGGCGAAGUGAUUCGACAGAAGUACUACAGACCAAUGCAUGAAAACCUUGUUUAAUGGAGGGGACUUCUCGAUACUGAGACUAAUUGAGAACUUGUUGAGGCUCUAUGAUAGUUCUAAGAGAAGAUAGACCAAUUUCAUUUCGAGGACACGACAAGGGUGUCGAGAGAAAAAGUUGAGUAGAAUGUCACGGCCAUGAAAAAGGAGCCCGUAACUGAUGCAUACAUUUCACACCCUGUAACAGCCCGAUUUUUAGUGAUGUCGGAAACAGUGGUUUGAGGCCACCAAAUCUGGCGAGUAAGCUCAUAAAUUUUAUUAUUUAAUAUUUAUGAGUCAAAUAUGGUUUAAAAAAUUUUUGAAUUAGUAAUUUAUGUCUUAUAAUGAAUUAUUAGAUUUAAGUGAUAAAACCUAGUUCAAGUGGUUUUAGAAAAUGAGGUAUUGAGACCUCGUUUCUAUAAACUAAGUUGUAAAUAUUUUUAUAAAUAUUUACGGAGUGUCAUUAAGGUAGUAUUAAAGUUUCAUUGAAAAAUUUUAACGUUUCGAUAGUUAAUUAAUUAAAAAGAACUAAACUGAAAAAGGUACAAAACUUGCUAAUUAUAAUAAUAAAGUGACUAAAUGGCUUGAUUAAUAAAUAAAUAAGGAUAAAUAGCAAUUAUGCCUCAAUGAAAAGAUGAGGCGGCAUAACAUGGAAAAGAAUAAUAAAAUAAAGCCAUGAAUGGCAAAAUUGUAAUUAAAUUGAAAUUAAAAUAAAAUAAAAGUGAAAUUAGAAAGUUUCUAGACAAUUCUUUAUUCUUCUCCCAAUUUUCGGUUCAAAAAUAGACAUGGGAGAGCUCCUUGAGCUGGUUCUUCAAUUCUUCUUCAUGUGAGUUCAAUUCUUACCCGUUUUUUGUAAUUUUUAUGUUUUUGAGAUUGUUGCAAUUAGGUCCAACUAAAUCUUACUCUAAUUUUUUAUUUUGUUAAAGAUUUUGAAUGUUGAAAUUGAUGAAUAUAUAUGAUUUUAGUUAUUAAAUGAUGAAUUUGAGAUGUUUGUUGAUAUUUAAAAAUAUUUUAUUAAGUAAUUUUGAUGAAUUUUUAUUAGGGACUAAUUUGUUGAAAUAGUAAAAAUACAAUGGUUUGUUAUGAAAUUAUUGCAAAAUUGGGCUGUAUUGAAUGCCAUUAAUAUUCAUCUAGCAUGAUUUUUCAUUAAAAAUGGUUAAUUUGCAUGAUUUGGGCUCAGGGACUAAAUUGAAUAAAAGUAAAAUUUUAGGGGUAAUUUUGUAAAAAUUUCAAAAAUGACCAAAUUCCAUGAAAUGAAUUUUUUAUUAUUUAAAUUAAUAAAUUGAAUGAAAUUAUUAAUUUAGAUCAAGACCGGGUGGAAAAUUGAGGGGAAUGGAAAAUUACUAAAAUGCCUCUGAAUCUUGGUAUUUUUGCAAUUUAGCCUGGUAAGUUCGUAUGAACUAUAUCCUGUAUAAUUUUGAUUAAAGUGAAUGUUAUUUGGUGAUGGAUAUUAUAUAUAUGUGUGUGUGUGUGUGUGCAUGUGUGUGUUCUAUUGUUGGAAUUAAAUUAUUAUUGGAAAUAUAUUAUCGAAAUUAAUACUCAGUUUAGAUUGAACGCAGGAUUUGAGUACAUUCAUAAAAUUGGUGUAUGGUGAUAUUGGAGGGAGAUAUCGAAAUAUUACCCAAGUAAACUGGGGUUCAGCAUCUGUUGCGAACUCUCGUGUUUUGCUUUCUAUUUGAAGUGAUUUGGGUGGAUCAACUCUCACGAGCUUCUGUUUAGCUCUUACGAGCUUAUGUUGGUGUGUUCUGGUGGACUAGCUCUAUGAGCUUCUGUUGAUGAUGUACUCUUAUCCGUAAGUCGUUCUUCGUAUGAAAAAUCUCGAUAAGAUAAAUUGUUAAAUGAAUUUGAAAGAUUUGUUAAUUAUUGAAUAUUGACCCAAACAUAAAUGAAAAUGAGAUAUGUUGUGACUAAACGAGAUACGUGAGUUAUGUACUCAUGAAUUGAGUAUUGAAUGGCUAAUGCCAAUGUAUAAACAAUUGUGGUUUGAUAUGUAAAUAGGUAUUUAUAUAGCAAUGAUGUGAAUUGGGACAUUGUUAAUCAAAUAAAAGAUGUUAGCAUGUGCAGUUUGAGUAUUUGACACUUUGUUAUUGAAUUGAAUUCAAGUCGAUUGAAUAGAUUGAAAUUGAUAUAUAUAUUGAAUGUAUUGAUUAUUUGAAUUGAAAUGAAUAUUGGUUGUAUUUGAAAAAUAAAUUGGAACCCUAUUAACUGUAUCAGGCUGAGUCGGAUAUAGAUGGCAUGCCAUAAGAUUGGAAGAAUUCAGGGAUUUCCUCGACUUUGAGUCGAUGAGAUACUGGGUGUCAAUUUAUUACUUCGGAUUUAUUCAAUGAGGCACUGGGUGGCAACUUACUUCGGUUUAACUGAUGAGACACUAGGUGUCAAUUUACUACUUCGAAUUAUUCGAUGAGGCACUGAGUGCCAAACUGGUGUGUUUGGUUGGGUCCGUGUAUCCGUCUAAGUCCGAGUUGUGUUAAUAGGGGUAAUUAAAUAAAACGGUACUAUGAUUGAUAUUGGAUGAUAUUGUAUGAGAAUUGAAAAUGGGAUAGUGAUUUGAAACAUGAAAAUGAGUUAUAUACAUAAAUGUACUAACCUGUGUAUUGAUGAUGGUGAUUAAGCUUAUGUCAAGCUUGAGAUUAUGAUUGAAGUAUAUACUUAUGUCUAGUAUUAUACAAAUGAAACAGUAAGUUCAUAAUUGAAAUGUGAUAUGAUGAUAAAGGGAUUGAUGAGUUGAUUAAUAUACUUAUAUAUAUAUAUGAGAAAUUGCGUAUGUUAUGGUUGAACUUACCUAUGUUAUGAAUAAAUAUAUUAAUUAGUUAAUUGAUGUUGUUAUUUAAGUUUAUGUUAAUUAAUAGAAUGGAAAAUAAGUAAAGGAAGUUAUUCGUAGUUUUAUGAAAAGGUUAAUCAUGGUGUAUAAUGUUUAUAAAAUCCUAUUAAAUUAGAAAUGAAUAUAUAUAUGAUGUUGAUAGACUUACUCAUUUAUGAACAGGUGGUUAUGUAGUUGAUAAAUCUCUAGGCAUUGGUAUAGCUUUAUAUUUAAUAUAUAAAAUUUAUUAUUGAAUUGGAAUAUUAUGUUUAAAGUCUGUACGAGCUUACUAAGCAUUCAUUGCUUACGUAGUUGUUUAUCCUUUAUUUCACAGAUUAUCAGAAGCUCGAUUGGGUUGGAAGCUUGUCAGAGUUAUAUCACACUAUCCAUCGGUUCUAUCGGUACUUUUGAAUGUUUUGAUUUUGGUUAUAAUGACAUGUAUAUGUUAUUUUGGUUAAAUGUUGGUCUAUAUGUGUUUUGUUGAGAUUAGUCAUAUAUUUGGUUUGUGUUUUGGUAUUUUAGUAUGUGCUUAAUUUGCCUUAUAAUGUUGAUGUGUGGAAUAAUGAAAGACAAAAUAGUAGUUGAAAAUGCAUAUGAGGAAUGUUUUAUAACUUGGUGUGAUUUGGUACUAUGUUAUAGUAAGUGUAUAUGUAUUUUAUGCUAUUGAAUAAGUGGUACAACUGGUACCAAAUGGUAAGUUUUAGUAAAUGUUUUACAUGUUGUGUAUUAAUGCGAUUAGACAUAAAAGUUAGUUGAUUACUUGGUUACAUGAUAUAUGUGGUUAAACAUAAUUGUAUUGGUCAUUUAAGAUGCCUAAGGACAUAUUGAUUUUAUGUGAAUAUACAUGUUUAGGGAUUGAUUUUAGAUGCUAUAAUAUGACUUGUUUAUAUACACAACAUUGAUUGUAGGUUGACACCAAAUUGGGUGAGAAAAAUGGCUUAUAAAAUAGCUUAUUUUCAUCCACACGUUCAGAGACACGGGCAUGUGUCUCCGUCGUGUGUGAUUCACGGUCAAGUGACACGGUCGUGUGUCCUCUGUGGCUUGUAAAGGUUUGCUAGUCAGUAUGUUCACACGGCCUAGCACACGGGUGUGUAGUUUGGCCAUGUGACCCCUGCAGCUUUGAAAAUUUUUAAUGUAUUCCGAAAAAUUUCCUGACUUUCUGAAUUAGUCCCGACUUAUUUAUAACGCGUAUUUUGGGCCUCGAGGGCUCGAAUAAGGGACAAUAUGUAUGAGUUUGAUUGGUUUCUGACAUGAAUAUUAUGUUAUAUGAAAUAAUCAAAUUUAUGUCUUUUUUAUCUAUAAACUCUGGUAAUGCUCCAUAACCCGGUUCCGGUAAGGGAUACAAGUUGGGGGUGUUACACACCCUUCAUGUUCCCUUGAGGUCAUUCGACUCAACAAGACUCACCUAUUGUUUGAAAGGGACUCAAGACUCAUUUAUUUAAAUUUUAGUUAAAAUUUAAACACUCCAAUAAAUUGCAUCUUUGCCUUUUUGAGUUGCUUUCGCUUUAUCUCGAUGCUUUAACAAUUUUUCAAGAAAAUUCUCAUCUUUCGAAAGUAAAGCUAAAUUAGAUAAACUCGAAGUAAAAAAACCAGCUAAAACUGCCUGAUUUGCCAAAAUUUGCUACUAUGUUGCCAUCCCAUUAGACAUGCAUAUAUUUAAUUUCCCAAUUCCUCCUAUAACACUUGUAAUAUUGCGUCCCAACGAUCAAGUCUUACCUUCACCUUUCAAUUGAAAGAAUACUCAAUUCAUACGUAGUUGGGAUAGUUGAAGAUUUCAUCCGAAGACAGGCGAAGGAAAAUGAAUUGAUUCCAGUACCAACUCACUACCCAUUUCAUCACUAUAUCUACUACACCAAAACAGGCUUUUAGCGGAAUUUUUAGUGGCGUUUGGCCAAAAAAGCGCCGCUAAAAAUCGAGCAUUAGCGGCGCUUUACAUAAAAAGCCGCUAAAAAUGAGCAUUAGCGGCGUUUUUCCAAAAAACGCUGCAAAAAACCUAAGCCGAAAGACAUCGUUUUCUGACCUUUUGGGGCUUUAGCGGCGUUUUUCAAGAAGCGCCGCUAAUGCUCGGGGCUUUAGCGGCGUUUUUGAAAAAGUGCCGCAAAAACAUUUUAUUUGUCUAUUUACUAUUUAAUUUGUUUAUUUAUAUUAAUUAAAAUUCAAUUUAUUUUUAAUUGAAUAUUUGUUAAAAUGGAUAAAUUUGAAAUAAUGACACGUAGAAAUAAUUUGAAAUAAAAAACAUAGAAAAAUAUUUGUUAAAAAUAUAAAAAUUAAAAUACUAUUAUUUAAAAUAAUUUUAAAAUUUUUUGGGUACAUGACUGAUUGAUUUUUAAUUUAUAUAUUAAAUAAUUUCAUAUAUAAUUGUAAAAGAUACGAUAGUAUUAAUUUUAAAAUAUUUAAUUUAUUAUAGUUUAGGGUUUAAUAUAUAUGGUUUAUGGUAUAUGGUUAAUUUAGGAUUUAAGGCCAGUUUAGGAGUUACAAUUUUAAGGUUUAUAGAUUAUGGAAUUAGGGAUUAUGGAUUAGGGGUUCUAGUUUAAGGGUUGUGAUUUAGGGAUUAGAGAUUAAGAGUUAGGGAUUUAAGGUUUUUGGAUUCAGUGUCAGGUUUGGGUUUAGGGUUUAGAUUAAUUAGUAUAUUUUAAUUUAUAUUAAAUAUGGUUUAGGGGUUAGGGGUUGGGGUUUAUGGGUUAGGGGUUUAGGAUUUAUGUUUUAUGGUUUAAUGUUUAGGAGAUAGGGGUUAGAGAUUUAAGGUUUAAUCGAUUUUAACUAUUUUAUGAUUAUUAAAUAUUUAGGGAUUUUUUUGGAUGGUAUUUUAAGGAUUAGGGGGUAUGGAUUUAGGGGUUGGGAUUUAAGGUUUGAGGGUUAAAGGUUAAGGAUUAAGAGUUAAAGAUUUAGGGUUUAUGAAUUCUGGGGUCAGAUCAAGGUUUUGGGUUUAGAUUAAUUAGUUUUUUAAAAAUAUAUUUAAAAAAUUUAAUCUAAACCAUUUGAUAUAUUUAAAUAUUAGUUUAAAUAGAAUUAAUAAAUAAGUUUAAAAAGUAUUGAUAUAUAUAUGGAUGGAUAUAUAUUUAGGUACGUAUAAUUAAUUAUUUUGGAUAUAUAGGACCAAAUUAUAAGAAAUGAAAUAAAAAUACAAACAAAAAAGACAAAAAACCUAAAAUUUAUAAUUUUAUAUAAUUCUUAUAAAUAUUACUUAAAAAGUUUAGAAUUAUUUAUUUAAAACGUCACCGUUUGGCUUAAGUAAACUAAUUUUUAGUGGCGUUUUUUACAAAAAAACGCCACAACUAUGCAUUAAAGCUUAAUAAAACGGCGCCGUUUUUGUUUAGAACUUUAAUUUUUAGUGGUGUUUUUAUAAAAAACGCCGCAAAAGAUAAGCAAUAGCGGCGUUUUUAUAAAAAACCGCCACAAAAAAUCAUUUUUAUUUACAAAAAAAUCGCGCCUUCUUAUCCCAAUUUUCCCCCGCUGAAACCCCUAAUUUUUUCCCCUCUUCUUCGCGGUCUAUGAGCAUUUUGCUUCUUCACCCUUUUCAAACUCAUUUCUUUCUCCUCUUCUUUCUUUUUUUCGGAUCUUCUUUCUCCCUCUCUCCAAAGUUCUUCAAUUCUUUCCGUCUCCUUUUCGCUCGCUCUCUGGUAAUUUCAUCUUUUAGAACAGGGCCGGUCUAGCCAAUCUCUACCAGGACGGUUUAAUGUUGACCUUCGAGGGUCAAAAGAUCCAAGGCUCUCAGAGCAUCGUCGCUAAACUCAUCAGCCUUCCUUUCCAGCGGUGUUAGCACAGCAUCACCACUGUCGAUUGUCAGCCUCCAGCGUUGGCGGCAUGCUGGUUUUCGUCAGUGGUACCCUCCAACUCGUCAGUGGUUUCAAUUCGUAGGUAAGCUCUCUUUAACCAUGGCUUAAUUAAUCAUGCGAAGACCUUGAAACUUCGAGAUUACUCUCUCACAAUCUAAGUUAGCUGCAUACGAUUAGCAACUUUGUGGAGAGGAGGAUUUUGUUUUUGUUUUUCUUCCUUUAAUUGCUGAUUUUUUCUGGGUUUCCAGAAUAGAUUUAAAAUUAUGUCAAGUUGGAUAUUGCAAGCUUCAGUCGAAUUUUAGUGUUGGAAACUGCAAUUAUUGACUUAAUUUGCUGAUUCGAUUAGAAAAAGCAAUUUAAGUAUUUGAAUUUUACUUCUCAAAAGAAAAAAAAAAUAGUGAUUUUAAUGUUAAUGGAGUGUUUUACAUGGUAAAUAGUUAAUAAAAAUAAGCAUUAUUGUAUGUGAUUUUAUCAUGAGGAUAAAUGUUUCCUGUAGCAUUAAGUUUUCAAAAGAAUUUUUAUUUUGAGAUCCUUACUUUGCUUUUUAAUCAAUGAUGCUUUUUAACAGUGUUCUUAGGUGUGUGCCUAGGUGCAUUAGACCAAGAUAGUUGGUAUUAUAUUGGUGGGCGUACCAAGGUCGGUGCAUUAGACCAAGGUGUAAAUGAAUAUGAUCAAGUGCAUGUGUAUUGGCCAAUGAAAGAUUAAAAAUUUUUUGCAUGAUUUUUAGAUAAAAGGGACCAGUUGUUAGUGUUUGCUAUCAUAUCUUAAGCUAAUUUAUAUGUACACGGUCACACAUAAAAACACAAAUUUGUAUAUAUUGCCUCGUCUGCGGCAAGUGCUUUUUCCACACCUUGCCUUUUGAGUAAUAUAAAGGGUUCUAAUGCCUAGAAUACCUUGUGCUCUUGGCAACAUUUGGUUGGCCCUACAUUUCUUAAAAUUUUUUCUAAUUCAAAUUCAUAUUUACUGUUUUUUGAAGAAAAAUUAAUAAUAAUUUUGUUUUGUCGUUUCUUCUAAUAUUAAUAACUAGCUACUUAUACUAUAUUAGAGAAUCAAAUAUUCACCGAGUCAAUGGAGUAUAUAAUUUAAAUAAAUUAUCCUUGAGAUAGUGCCAGACCAGUUUUCCUCUUUGAAAUUGCUUUAACCAGUGAAAUGCUUCGAUGGUUUGUUAUCUUUGUGGUGGAAAUUAUUGAUGUCUAUUUUGGACUUUGGAGCUAUAAUUUCAUUUUUCUUAUAUGCAAUUUUAUUUUUAUUAUUUUUCUUUUAUACAGGAUGAGAACCGGUAUAGUGCAGGAAGAGGAGUGCACAAAAAUCUGAAACGUGCAGAGAAAGCUCGCAUUCUAGUUAGCAAAUUACCAUGUAAGCUUCUAGUAGUAAUCUUACAUCUUGAAGUAGGUUUCUGUGACAUAUUAACUUAAUCUCCUUUGUUAAAUAGAAAACAUGAUUUAUUGCAAUGCAAGAUUUAGUUGAUUUGCUUAUAUGCUGGUUGUUUCUGAACUUGGUUUGGUUUUGUGUAACCGUGGUUUUUGAACUUGCAUUCUAUACUGUCCAAAUAUCUCGGUUCAGGUCAAUUUUCGAUUUUAUUAUUUAUUCCUGAGCUUAAGCUCCAGUUUGAAAUGAGAUUUUUCAAUAUAGUUAAAAGGUAAAAAGACCUCAAUCAAACUCGUGUGAUACUAUAAUCAAGCAUUAAGGUACUCGAAUUUGAUCUGCUCAAUAGCUCAAACUCGACUCAACACCACACAAGUCUAAUUUGAGAAUUUCUGAGAAGGAUCCACAAAUAAUAACUGAAUUAUUGCCAAGUAUGAAAUAAUUGUGAUACUUAUCAACUCUAGUGAUUGCAUAUCUGGAUAAGAAACUGGAGGCUUAGGGGCAUAUGAUGCAGACAUUUAUUGACUGCGCUGUGCAUUUUGGCUUUUACUGCCUACAUAUAUUUGGUUUUAGUAUUCCUGUCUGCAUGUAUUUGCUUGCGGAAUUUAUGUUGUUGUUAAUGGUUUUUAUUUUAAACUUAAGUUGUGCCUGCCAAUAUACUCUUAAAUCAUGAUCCUUCUAUUAUUUUAGGUUGCUGAGAAGACUGCUCUUCUAUGACUUUUAGCGACGCUUCUACAACAAAUAAAUAUUAUUUAAUUAAAUUUUUUUAAAAGCCAUGUUUUUAGCGGCGUUUGUUAAAAAGCGCCGCUAAAAGUCAUAUUCUUUAGCAACAUUUUUUAGAAAAGCGCCGCUAAAGAUCAUGGUCUAUAACGGCAUUUUUAGUAGAAGCAUCGCUAAAGGUCAUGGUCUAUAGCGGCAUUUGUGAAAAAAACGCCAUUACAAGUCAUGGUCUAUAGCGACGUUUUUUUAAAAGCGCCGCUGAAGGCCUAAAAAGAUGCCGCUAAAAACCUAUUUUGGUGUAGUGCAUUGUGCAGCAUAGAAAAGACUCAAAUUAUGCUUAAAAAAAAAAAACCAUCCUCUGCUCCUAUAGGAAUAAUGUGCUAAACAAACCUCUCCAAAGUGCUGGAUACAUUAACGCACUAGAGACCAAAUACAUUUCUUUCCAGCAUUUUUCAGACACCGCAAAGGUAAUUUGUUAAUGAGGAAGGGAAUUGGUAAGAAAAUUUUCAAACACCAGAUUUCCUAUUUUCUAUGUAUUCUCAUCAAAUGUUACAAUGGGAAUCUAGCUUAUAACCCAAGCAGCCAAAAAAAAAAAAAAUGGGAUGUUCUAAUCCUAGCCAAGAAUUGACUUGAUUUUCGCCUUCUGAUCCUCCGCAAGUGAUGUGGGGAACAGAACCUCAUAGGUGACAAAGAGGUCUCCUUUCUUGUUGCUAAAAUGCAAUGGCAUUCCUUCUCCUUUGAACUUUCUCACCUCCUUCGGCUUGGUAAUACCCUAAGUAUGCAAUACACAAUUAUUUCUUAUUUUGGGUCAUUUUGUUGAUCGCGGACAACAUGAAAUCAAAUCUCC
rnacentral:lncRNA from 1 species